CCUUUCUUCCCUCCGGAAGGGAAAAAAAUAAAACGCUGAUCAAAAGAAGAGAAUAAGCAGCGGGUUGUUCUGAAACUGAUAAACAACUUAAAGUCUUUUGGGCUGAGAAGAUGGCUCAGUGGGUCAAGAGCAAUUGCUGUGCAAGCAUGAGGAUUUGAGAUUGAAUCCCUGGAACCAAGGGGGCUGGAGAGAUGUUUUAGCAGUUAAAGCAUGUAUCGCUCUUACAAAGGAUCUUGUUAUGCCAUGUUUGGUUGGUGUCCCU